rnacentral:rRNA from 1 species
AGCCAAUAGAUACCAGGUAGUCCACGCCCUAAACGAUGUCUACUAGUUGUUGGUGGAGUAAAAUCCAUGAGUAAACGCAGCUAACGCGUGAAGUAGACCGCCUGGGGAGUACGGUCGCAAGAUUAAAACUCAAAGGAAUUGACGGGGCCGCACAAGCGGUGGAUUAUGUGGAUUAAUUCGAUGCAACGCGAAAACCUUACCUGGCCUUGACAUGCCACUAACGAAGCAGAGAUGCAUUAGGUGCCCGUAAGGGAAAGUGGACACAGGUGCUGCAUGGCUGUCGUCAGCUCGUGUCGUGAGAUGUUGGGUUAAAGUUCCCGCAACGAGCGCAACCCUUGGCCAUUAAUUGCCAUCAUUUAGUUGGGCACUUAAUGGACUGCGUGC